UUGUAGGUGGCAGACUAGUGCAUUGGACUUAAGACCCAAACAUGGGGGAACCCUCUACAAC
rnacentral:tRNA from 1 species